GGUGGUGUGGUGUAAUGGUAGCACGUGACGUUGUGGUUCAUCCUCUGCAGGAUAUCUCACGAAUGAUUUCCGUUUCAAUCUGGGUUCGAUUCCCAGCACCGCCA